UUUUGCUCAAAACUCAAAAUUGUGACUUAAACUUGCCUGUUCUGUUCUCAUCCGGCGAUGUGUUGUCUUGACUAUAAUGAUUGUUAGGCAGUUAUUGGUACGUAACAGAUUGUGUGUGAAUUGUUUCAACUCGCACAGUUUGCCAAAUAAUAGUCGUGUUUCAGAGACAAAUAAUGUGUUCGAUUUAUUGAACUAUAUUUUGGGACAUUUUGAAAUCAAGAGAACUAUGUCCUACUAGGUUCCAUAUUUCAAUCAUCAGAUAAUGUUAACAGGUUAAAAUAGACUUCUAUUAUGAAAUAAUGCCUCAAUUUAAAAGCAAGUGCGGUAGCGUACCACACAGAUGCUGAUAGCAGACACAACUUUUGGUAUCGUGGAAUUCUUAUUGGGUUUCUUUUGCUGACUUGAACUUCUCCAAGAUUUGCAUCAACCAAUUUUCUACAAUAUUUCAUUCCCUUGGAUAUUGCUUGGACCCCGGCAUACGUGCUUUCGAAUGAAUUCUCUCUUCAUUUAAAAAUGGCGACAAUUUUUUACGAAUGCAUGAGUGGAAUAUUCAGUUCCUCAUGUUAUUUUGUAAUCUAUGGAUUUUUGGUUUACGUCACAAUUCCGCUGAUUUUCAAGAUUUAUCCAAAAAUCGUCUUUGAAGGAUUAUUUCUCAACAGAGUCUGCCCACCUGUAUGAUUACUGAAGCUGAACAAACCAGACAAAGCCUACAAUCUUAAAGAGAGCAAGAACUGCUAUGUGAAGUCUUCGAGUGGAAGUAUUUUAGGCGUUUGGCAUAUUCCGCCAGUCACUCAGUACGAUACUCCAGAGGUCAAAUCAGGGUCAUUACAAGACGCUGAGAAAAUCAUCAUUUAUUGCCAUGGCAACUCGUUUCAUCGUGGUUUCAAGCAUCGAAGAGAUUUAUAUUCAGACCUGCAGAAAUCAGGAUUCCACAUCAUAGCUUUUGACUACAGUGGGUUUGCGGACUCUACCGGCCAGCCGAGUCCAACAAGAGUCGUAGAGGAUGCAAUUAGCGUGUAUAAGUGGACGGUCAAGCAGCUCCAGAAAGAAGAUG